rnacentral:misc_RNA from 1 species
GAAAUGCGAUACGUAAUGUGAAUUGCAGAUUCGUGACUCAUCGAAAUUUUGAACGCACAUUGCACUUGGCGGUAUUCCGCCAAGUAUGCUUGUUUGAGUGUCUGUCCGUUUCCAUCUUUUAUUGCGCCUGGCUUUGUUCUUUUGCUUUUGUUCGCUUUCCAGCCCUUUGCGGUUGGGGGCAGCCGGGCGAAAGAAUGGACUUGGCGCAACAAAAAGGAUGUUGGCCUCUUUACUCUGUAAGAGUGAAUUGGCUCUAUGCAUUUGCGGCACAAAGGUGUAUUCCAACUUGGAAUGCUUCCUUUUUUUCUCAUGCCCCAAUUCCGUUGUUGUGCUUGUUUCUGCAAGUGCUUUAUCAGAAUUGUGACAUGGAAGAAAGAGAGCGUUUCUGAGAGGGGAAAAGCAACAAUGACCGCGCCUCAAGGCAAACGAACACACCGCCAUAACCAUAUGGACCUCAAAUCAAGCAAGGCUACCCGCUGAACUUAAGC